CCUCGGCCCCGCCCUCCAGCGCUCCUAUUGGUCCGGAGGGUAAACGCCUUUCACUUCUACAUUCUGAUUGGUUGAUGGUUUUUUGUCCCUCCCCUCGGGCGGGAAGAAGUUCGGGAUUCGGCGCGUGAUGGGGGCGCGUCCGAGUCCCGCGGCGUUUGAGCGCGAGCGAUGAACCGUUGCUUCGUUGCCAGGCCGACAGGACGCGGAGGGAGGAAGCUCAAGCCUCUCUACGGCGGUCUUAGCGCCCCGUCCACCGCACGGAAUCAGUUUUCCCCCCUCCCGGCCGUGCGUGGUCGGCGGCAGCAGGGGUUCGAUUUUGCAAUGAAUGUAAUUAUUUUGACGGCCAGAAAUGCAUCCAAGAAAUGAAAAAUUGCUGGAAGCUUAAUAUAAUGUUUCAAAACAGGAGUUGUCGCACAGAUCACUUUUACUUCUAUGAUCGCCUUACAGGGAGAUACCUGUAUCGUUAUACAUCACUAUCAUGUGAAACUUGUGAAGAGGGAAUGUUCCAGGUAUUCCAUGAUCUCCUGAGAGAAACAUACUGCUGUAUAGAUAAUGACAGGUGCAAUGACCCUAAUGAUAUACCAGACAUUACAAGGGAAUAUGUGUCUUAUGACACAGACAGAAUUGUUAAAAAAUAAAAUAAUUAAGUUUUAAACCACAUCUCUGAGUAAACUUUGCCCUUCCCCUAUCCGAUGGCAACAUUAUCUUACAUUUUCUCAAACCCCAGACCCCCACUCUUUCCUCUUAAGCCAGUAGAUCUACCUAUGGAACCACUAUCUUUCCUGUGUCAGUGCUUCCAGUAACAGGAACCCCAUCUCUACUUUCUGGUUGGAUUCUACUGUCUUCACCACCUGAUCGCUCCUGGCAAUCUUUACUUGCCCUUCAGUUCUAAAGCAGGGGUCCCCAAACUACGGCCCACGGGCCACAUGCAAAUACAAAUAUUGUAUUUGUUCUCGUUUUGUUUUUUUACUUCAAAAUAAGAUGUGUGCAGUGUGCAUAGGAAUUUGUUCAUAGUAUUUUUUUUAAACUAUAGUCCGGCCCUCCAGCGGUCUGAGGGACAGUGAACUGGCCCCCUGUUUUAAAAAUUUGAGGACCCCUGUUCUAAAGUCAGAGUUCUAACAUUUCUGGCAAAGGAAACAAACUAUUUUUCUGGUAGAGCUCCUGAAGGAAGAUCGGGGAAAAGCGACUGGAUAGAAAUUGGGACAAGAAAUCACAGGAGGUUUUAGAAAUAUCUGGGAGGACAGUAAAAGAGGUAUUUGGUGAGGACUGGGAAGGGUUUCUAUUAAGCAGGGGCUUGAAAAAGUCAAUGUGAAAUUAGAAAAUUCUGUCUUCUGUGAAAGCAAUAGUCAAGUGUACCAAAUAUGAGAGGCUUCGUGUCUGCCACUAUUUGGGGAAACUAUGCCAAUCACACCUACUUGUGUUCACAUACACUUUGAUUGCCAUGUUUCUGGUCAUCUUAUCUUGCUCUCAUGGCCAAAGCCAAGUAUAUCAGGAUGGGCACUUGGCAGAGGAUCGGCCAAUUACUCUGCCUCUGGGCUUGUGGGGCAUACUCUAGCACUUGUAAAAAUCAAUUUAAAAAUCUUUAACAAAAUAUCAGCCAAUAGCAGAUUAAAGGAUGAUAUAUAAUUGAUCAAUAAUCUUUGUGGAGUAAAAAAUCAUUGCAAAACUCAGUGGCUUAAAAUAAUAAGCAAUGAG